GCUUGCUUCUCUUGAGAGCGGCGGACGGGUGAGUAAUGCCUAGGAAUCUGCCUGGUAGUGGGGGAUAACGUCCGGAAACGGACGCUAAUACCGCAUACGUCCUACGGGAGAAAGCAGGGGACCUUCGGGCCUUGCGCUAUCAGAUGAGCCUAGGUCGGAUUAGCUAGUUGGUGGGGUAAUGGCUCACCAAGGCGACGAUCCGUAACUGGUCUGAGAGGAUGAUCAGUCACACUGGAACUGAGACACGGUCCAGACUCCUACGGGAGGCAGCAGUGGGGAAUAUUGGACAAUGGGCGAAAGCCUGAUCCAGCCAUGCCGCGUGUGUGAAGAAGGUCUUCGGAUUGUAAAGCACUUUAAGUUGGGAGGAAGGGCAGUAAAUUAAUACUUUGCUGUUUUGACGUUACCGACAGAAUAAGCACCGGCUAACUCUGUGCCAGCAGCCGCGGUAAUACAGAGGGUGCAAGCGUUAAUCGGAAUUACUGGGCGUAAAGCGCGCGUAGGUGGUUCGUUAAGUUGGAUGUGAAAUCCCCGGGCUCAACCUGGGAACUGCAUUCAAAACUGACGAGCUAGAGUAUGGUAGAGGGUGGUGGAAUUUCCUGUGUAGCGGUGAAAUGCGUAGAUAUAGGAAGGAACACCAGUGGCGAAAGCGACCACCUGGACUGAUACUGACACUGAG
rnacentral:rRNA from 1 species